GGAAGUGGGAGGGCGGUUGGAGCGGCCUCCAGAAAGCGCCCCUGACUGCACCGGUGUUCUCUUGCUCGGCGGUGCUAAAACAAGCUUGCUCUGAGAAGCUGUAGAUGCUGUUUCUGCCGGGUGAAAAUAGUUUCUGUCGGCUCUGCUACUAUACACCCAUGUGUGAGGAAGAGAUGUGACGGACUCACUGCUAGGAAAGCCAGCGCUGGAGCCAUACCUCUCAUUAGGCCAACUCAAGAUCUGUGGCCCUCUGUCUUCUCUCAUAUUGGUUGUCCACUGGAGAGGUUUUUUCCUGUCCUGGGCUCUGCCUGCACAAAACAGUCUACGUCCAAGGGGCCCUCUGAAGCCUCCACCUCGGCCACUGCCACAGUCCCACCCCUGAAGAAACAAAGACACGCCCCCCUCCCAUGGCCAUGACAACGUUGUUAAAAUGAGUUUUGCUCCUAGAGGACGGUCACUUCAGCACUCACUGCGUCUCUGCCACAGUCCCAGAUGAAGACUCUGGCGUGUUCAGCAAAUGAUUUAGGUGAUCGGCCAGGUUUGGAACUACUUUCAUCUGAAUUGGUGGAUUAUUGGUCAAGCGAGGAGCCUGUCAUUGAGAUGUUCGAAUUGCCUAACAAAUGGGCAGAAUGACAACUCCAUUCAUAGGAGAGCCCAAAAGGGAACUAAAACUGCUCACGGUAGGAAAAUUCUGUGGUGAGUGUACAACCUUAGAGGAAUAUAGGGCUAGGGAACUGAGAAUGGGUGGGGACUUAUUUUCACUAAAAUGAAAUUAAAGAGUCAGAACUCUAAAUAGAGAUAAGGUCAGUGGCUUAUAUUUACAUGACUUCUGAUCAAUGGGCGGUGUUUGCUUCAUUUCCUUACUCUCUAGAUGUGCACUCUUCCUAUAGUAGCCACUAGCCACAUGUGGAUGCUGAGCACUGGAAAUGGGGCUAGUCCAAAUUGAAAUUGCUGUCCAUGUAAACUGCACACUGGAUUUCAAAGACUUUGGAAAAGUAACAGCUAAUGGACACCUUUAACAUUGAUUAUGUGUUAAAAGAAUAUUUUGGAUCCCCUGAGUUAAAGACAUAAUUAAAAUUCAUUUCACCUGUUUCUUUUUAUGUGUUUUUUUACUGUGGCUCCUAGAAAAUUUUAAAUUGCAUAUAUGGCCUGUGGGGGCUGAAAGCAUUCUUGAUCUGGGUGAUGGAGAUACACAUGUAUGUAUGUACGCACUGAAAUUCAUCAAACUGUGCCCUGAAGCCUUGGGUACUGCACUGUUGCAUAUAAAUAAAAAUCAAGUUUAAAAAAUUUAAAAAACAGGAAUGCCUGGGUGGCUCAGUCGGUUAAGUGUCUGCCUU